UUUGAUCUUGGUUCAGAUUGAAUGCUGACGGCGUGGAUGAGGCAUGCAAGUCGAACGAAGUUCUAGGAAGCUUGCUUCCAAAGAACUUAGUGGCGAAAGGGUUAGUAAUACAUGAGUUAUCUGCCUCUUACCCGGGAAUAACGGUUGGAAACGACCGCUAAUACCGGAUGAGGUAAGAUGAUGGCAUCAUCGUCUUAUCAAAGUGGGGGAUCUUCGGACCUCACGGUAAGAGAGGAGCUCAUGGGAUAUCAGCUUGUUGGUGUGGUAAAAGCGCACCAAGGCUAAGACGUCUAGGCGGACUGAGAGGUUGACCGCCAACACUGGGACUGAGACACUGCCCAGACUCCUACGGGAGGCUGCAGUCGAGAAUCAUUCGCAAUGGGCGAAAGCCUGACGAUGCGACGCCGUGUGAACGAUGAAGGCCUUCGGGUUGUAAAGUUCUUUCGCGUGGGAACAAGAGAGGUUGGAUAAUACCCAGCCGAUUUGAGCGUACCAAGUAAAGAAGCACCGGCUAACUCCGUGCCAG
rnacentral:rRNA from 1 species